GGAGAGAUGGCUGAGUGGUCGAAAGCACUUCGUUGGAAGCGAAGCGUACACUUACGUGUACCGGGGGUUCGAAUCCCUUUCUCUCCGCCA
rnacentral:tRNA from 1 species